GAUGAACGCUGGCGGCGUGCUUAACACAUGCAAGUCGAACGAAGCACUUUAUUUGAUUUCCUUCGGGACUGAUUAUUUUGUGACUGAGUGGCGGACGGGUGAGUAACGCGUGGGUAACCUGCCUUGUACAGGGGGAUAACAGUUGGAAACGGCUGCUAAUACCGCAUAAGCGCACAGCAUCGCAUGAUGCAGUGUGAAAAACUCCGGUGGUAUAAGAUGGACCCGCGUUGGAUUAGCUAGGUGGUGAGGUAACGGCCCACCAAGGCGACGAUCCAUAGCCGACCUGAGAGGGUGACCGGCCACAUUGGGACUGAGACACGGCCCAAACUCCUACGGGAGGGAGCAGUGGGGAAUAUUGCACAAUGGGCGAAAGCCUGAUGCAGCGACGCCGCGUGAGCGAAGAAGUAUUUCGGUAUGUAAAGCUCUAUCAGCAGGGAAGAUAAUGACGGUACCUUACUAAGAAGCACCGGCUAAAUACGUG
rnacentral:rRNA from 1 species